rnacentral:rRNA from 1 species
UACGAAGGGGGCUAGCGUUGUUCGGAAUCACUGGGCGUAAAGCGCACGCAGGCGGAUCGAUAAGUCGGGGGUGAAAGCCCGGGGCUCAACCUCGGAAUUGCCUUCGAUACUGUCGGUCUCGAGUCCGGGAGAGGUGAGUGGAAUUCCUAGUGUAGAGGUGAAAUUCGUAGAUAUUAGGAAGAACACCAGUGGCGAAGGCGGCUCACUGGCCCGGUACUGACGCUGAGGCACGAAAGCUAGGGGAGCAAACCGG